AUUAUUGAUCCAUAUCCAGACCUAAAAGCAGUCUCCCUGUCAUGAUUAAACUGGUUUUAACACUUGAGGGACACAUGGAGGCUGUUUUUUGUGUUUUUUUGUGGAGUCUCUUUUGGGCGGCUCCUCUUCAGCUGAAGCUCCUCCUACACCUUCACACCUGCACCUGAUCAACCUGAUCACCACCUGCUCUUAAGCUCUGCUCAGAUCUCCUUCACUCUUUGGACCCCGGACCUCUCACCAUCCCACACCAAUCACACUCCAUCUAAAUACCUGCAAUAACUAAAACACCAGUUGUGCAGUUUACAGCCAAGGUGCCAAAUCACACAAAUGUCGCUCCAGAGUAAUUUCUAGGAAGACUUUAUCGCACACUCACUUUUAUCACCUUUGGUACACCCUCAGCGACAAGAUCAACGCUGCAUUCAAGGAGCGAUUAUUGAAAUUAAAAGAGACGAGACCUGCGUGAAGAUCUGUGGUGCGCCUGGUUGAAGUGAUGGCGUGCAGCCUCAGAGGUGUUUAUAAGGGAAAUGAAACGGCGCUGAAAGCGUCUCAAAAUGCUGCAGGACUGUUUAGUCAUCACACGGUAAUCACUGCAGCUUUUAUCAGAGACGGAGUCGACCGUCGUGCACGGCGUGGAAACUGCAGCCCACCGCUGACACUCACGUUCCACUCACGGGGGGGUUAAACCUUCAGCGUAUGAAUGUAAUCAGUUUUAUUAUCAUAUACCGCUGGUCUAUUGAAUGAGUUUGUUUCCCUGUGCUUCAGUGGAUAACAAUAGGUUUCUGAUAGUCACGCUUUCUGCUGCCAAAAAUCAAAAACUUUAAAGUUUUAGUCGAGCAGCUUUUUAAAAUCCUGAUCUCUAACCGUGAAAAAUCUCCUCAGAUUUAAUCCUGCAGAGCAUCUUGAGGAGCAUCUGUGAUGGUGUUUGGGGAAAAGUCAGAUCUUACAAUAAGGAGGAGCAGAAACCCGAACCUCGCCCUCCAGUUUUUUCAGGUCAAGCAAAAACAGACAAAGAGAAUAUUUCAUUUUUGACUCAUCCCUGAUCCUGCUUUUGUCCUUUUCUUAUCUCAUAGAUUUUUUCAGCUUCAGCUCACCGAACCAGUCUGACAGAUCAGUGGAAAUGAUUUCUUAAUAUCUCUCGCUUUAUCCUGCUGCUUGGAAAUAAAAAUCUGUGGCUUUGGUAUUCCCUGUGAUACCUCGAGGAAAUCAUAUGUGGGUGAUAUAAUUUGAAGCCUCUGUGAUGGAUCAGAUCUUCAGACAUCUUUUUCAACGCAGUGAAAAUGUGGCGGAUAUGCAGAGAGGAGGAUUUCAGUCCGUUAAUGUUUUAUUUGUCGAGUUUAAAGACUCAAUACGAGUUUUUACAGAUGAGGCAAGUAGAGAGACGUUAAAAAGGUCAAACAAAAUAAAGAUAAGGAACUAAAAAGUAAAUGAGUAAUUGACUCAAAACUGAUUAUUUGUUACGCUUUUACUUUGACAUGUUUUUACAGGUCGCUGCUACAGCUAGUUUGUGAGCAGUCUGCCAUCUCUUCAUCAUCCAACCUUCAGGACAUGACUGUAUGUUUAUUUAAGCAAAUUAAUUUUGUGCCAGAAUAUCCCUUUAAACAAAACCUCCACAGGGGACGGCGUGCAGAAAUGACAGAACUGUCUUAUCGUACAGCAUGACCUCCACGCCAUAACUUUGACCUCCAUGUUUGAGCACAGUUACCUUCGCCAUACUGAAGUACACGAGUCUACAUCGUCAGGAGGUUCGGGGGGAUCCACACCAAUCACAUGUACUCAAGUCCACCCGGGUCUGCCAUUAUGCGGGGCUAUUUCUGCUGUGUCCAUGUCGAUCACGUCAGCCUUAUUAACCUCAAAUAAAGAGGCUUUUAAAAGCAGGAUUCUCACCUCGGGGUCACUGCAGAGUUCGAGCGAGUACACAGAGGGAGAGUCUCGACAGAAACGUGCUGCAGGAGGUUAAAGGACCAGGUGGGAAGACGGUGAUCUCAGUGUGACUGAACUGUCCGUUGGAUACAGCGGCGGCAGCGGCCGUGACUAACAGCUCAUGGGGGAAAUUAAGGUUUCUGGAUCGUCUGCAGGUCAAGUGUUCAUAUUUUAGUUUUUUCAACUUUACACCCAUCUCUGUGUUGAGUAUUGAUCGGGCCCAAUUGAAGUCCAGUCAUUAAUCAUCCGCAGUGUGCGGCAGGGGUCAGUUAGAGAAGGAUGUUAGAAACGUCGAUCAGCUGACUGCACACUCCACCACACAGCUUCAGAGCUUUUAGAGAUCACCAUGGCAACACACGGACAUAAACAUGCUCACUAAUCGGCAACAACACCUAAAGUAAUCAAGUGCAUCAGCUCUGCCAGUAAGUCUUCCUGUGUGAUCACAGUGUUUUUGAUCAUCAGGGCUUUUGCAGGAACGACAGGGUCCCAAACUUCGCUGUCAUUGAUCUGCUUCGGCCCGUUUCAGUCCGAUUAAGAUGCAAAAGAAAACCGAUCCCCAUCCAUAUUAUCUGGGCAGAACAGUCCGACUGUCGGACAUGUGUAACGCUGACUCCUUGAUCGAACAGUUAGCAGAUAUUUACACACUAAAGUGGAUUUCUCUACCCUUGACGUGGCACUCAAUGAAGCUGAGGAGAGGUUAGGUCACCGGGGAUGUGCCUUAUGGAGCUGCUGAGGCCUGUUAAAGGAAGGACACAUUUUAAGGCAGCGCUCGGAGCUUGUGAAAUGGAAAAUCCUCCUUCUGCCGCGUCGCAAUCACUCUUAAAUUGCUUCCUUUUAAGAUGCAGACUCAGCCACACAGUCUCCCAUAUUUCUGCGCCUGAUUUUACCCACUAUUCCUGUUCCAGCAUUUCUCUUUCAACCGCAGAUUACUAUCAUUACAGAGGCGGAAAUCCCACAAACGUAAUACUCUUUGUAUUUGAUGAAAAGUAGAGGUUGGAUAUUCAAAAGGCUGCCGCUGUGGUCCAUCGAUUGUUACUCUGGCUCGCAGACUGAAGGCAGGAAUCAAUCAUUGAUCAAAGUCGAGCCGAGAAAGAGAAUAAAGGAGUGAUAGAGGAUACAGGAAAACAAAGAGGUAAACAAAGAGUUCAUGAUACACUGAGAAGAUGAACAGCUGUUACGUUAAAGUCAAAAUGAUGCCCGUGUAAGACUGCGAUGAUCAUGAAUUCUGCAGAUUUAAGGAUUCUUUGAGACCACUGAGUGACCGGUCUCCAAGGACACUGAUAUACUGGAUCAGCCCCAGGAGGACCACUGGGAUUCAUCGCAGUCGGCUCAUAAGAUAUCCAAUAUUUUUCUACGGCGUAAAAUUAAGUUAGGGUCAAACACACCGAAAGACCAAGUUAGACAACCCAUCGAGAGAUGAAUGUUGCCGACCGCUUGCUUCUCUAGUUAUACCAACUUUAGUAACGACCGCAGGAUAGUAAUACAAUAGCAAUAAUGCUCAGAACAGCACCUAACUUCAUCAACAGGACAUAUAGGGUCACAGACAUAGGACUAGUAACCAAACAUCUUUUUAACUUUGACUCAUUUCUUUAGCAAAGAGACUAAACACAACUCACCUACUCUCUUCUAGAUCGAGAGAUCAAGAGUUCUAUUUUUUCCGGACGCCGGAGCAUGGAGACGCUGAUUCUAGAAGUAGAUUUCCUCCUCUGGAAGGACACAAUCUACUGCUUACAUGUCUAUGUGGCUGUGUUUAUAGAGACAACUCGUUAUCGCGCAAUUGCAUGUGAAUCCGCGGAGUUCUCACAAUUCCUGCUGUCCGUAAUCCGCCACGAAAUUCGUCUCACAAAUGGAUCUGGUAGGAAUUGGCGAACAGUGAAAAUCGCCACCGUUACGGAUUUGGUGGAAAAUCCCAGGUAACACUUGGUGGUUCAAAAGCCAGUAUUUGCAUCACUUUGGGGAUCACGAGUGUCUGGUAGUCGUAUCUUGCACAUAAAAAAAAAAAACAGCUGCUUGUAGAAGCUGAAAUCAAAGUUUAGUAGUUCGGGGUAAAGAAUAGAUCCUCUUCUAUGCUGAUGAUAUUUAAGUAUCCCGUUCAGUGCACGCCUCGCUGAGAUCUCCACCACCUGGGGCACCUGAAAGGUGUGCCUGCUGUGACACUAAGUAAUGCUGUGGGAUGGAUAGUGGGCUAACAGCAGAAUACCAUGUGUAUAAUUUCACGAGGCUUAUUAUACACCAUUUCACAAACAUCUACAUUAUGCUGUUCAGUCAGCGCACUUAAGCAGCCUCCUACCCGCUCUGCCUGUAAUUUAAAUUAUGAAUGUCAGUCAGCAUAAAUAGAUCUAUGCUGUCUGUAUCUAUGUGGUCUAGAGCCUCUUUAUAUGUGUGUCGAGAAUCCUCAGGUAAUGGGGGAUGAUGAAGGGGGACGGCGAGAAAGAGGAGAAGAAGUUCUAGCUAUUAUAGAGACGUCUUAAAUUAGUGUCUCCAUUAGCACUUGUAAGUCUUCAAAGGUCAGUGGAGCUGGAAGCAGAUGAAGAUGAGUCCAGCUGAACACGCUGCUGCUGCUGCGGCUGCCCUCUCGAUCAGCUGCGAAACGGAAAGAAGUCGUUGGAAAUUGACACGUUAACUUGGAGGGUUACGGUCAGCUACGAUCGGAGGAUGCGGCGUUUUCGUUGGGGGUCAGUUUCUCUGGACAUUUGAAGUGAGCAUUUAUUCUCCAUCAAACAGCCAAAUUUUUCACCUUCAACAUCAGAUAUUUCAUCUGUUUUAAAUCCAUUAAUCUUGUCUUUAUUCUAAUUUUCUUGGCAUUUGGGUCGUAGAACAGAUGUCAAACGGGGACGCCUCUGCAUCGCUCCAAGAAACAUAUCAGCAAACACCCAGGCAGAGUUCAAAGCAUGAGUCAGCCUUGGACUUCUUUCAUGCAUUUGACGCCAGAGCUCAUAGUUGUGGAAAAACAAACCGAAUGAUGAAAAUACUCUUCAAGGAUAAAUAAAGAAGUCAGCUCUCACUCCCCAACACCGCUGUCCAAGUUUCUUCAAAACUGGCAGAGAGAAAAGCUCGGAGAGGUCGUCCGAUCCACUCUGAUUGUCAAUUUCAAUAAGUUAGCGUUAAAAAAACAAACUUUUUGUUGCAUUAAACAAACAGAGAACUUUUUACAUUGGUAAUUGUGAGGUAAUUUAUGCCGUCUCCUAAUUAUAACAACACAACAAAUCAACUCUUGGCACAUAAUGAGAGAUAGAGAGAGCUUUAACGAGGUAAACGCUUCAAUUAAGGAGUAAUUAACAUUAAUGCUCAACAGCGGGACUACUGGAGAGAAUCAGACAACAGGAAACAUUCAGACGGAUAAAUACGUCAAUGGAGUUAGUGAUGAGAGCGGUGGUUACAGGAAGCGGUGGAGGUAAUGAAUGGAGACACAUUAAAUAAAGCAAAAGCGCAUUAUUGUAAAAAAAAUAUGUAUUAUAAUCCUUUUAGUUGUGGCAAGAAUUCAAGUCUGUAAAUUCACUCGUUAGAUCCUCAGAGGAGCAAAUUACAGGAUAUUACCCGAUCAAUGAUGAGUUUAACACAGACUAACAGUCCGAUAAUUUGUCUGAAAACCCCCAAACUAGAAAAAAAACAUCCUCAUUCUCUGGAAGAAGCAGCUAAUUAAAAGCCGUAAAAUGAUAUAAUAGCAAACUCGAAUCUCGCCGAAGGACGCGUGUUGUCUGCUGAACUCUCCUCCCUCCUCGUACACAGCGUGGGCUCUCUGCAGACUGUUAACCGUCUCAGUCUGGCAGCUGCUCUACAACACGGACCUGCUGCUCUUUGUCACUCUCUACAUUCACAGAGAGCAGCUGUAGAGCAACAGGAGGCUCUCUAAAGAGGCUCGUGUCGGAGUAUGAGGACCGGCAUUUGACCCGCUGAUGAUGCAAAAUGAAAAAAACGGUGGAUACCCGAAGUCGUUUCACCAGAUUUUCGGCUCUAAGCAACAAUUUAAAACUGCAUGUGGUGCUAAUAUUAAUUUGGGAAUUGUGUAAGUAGGCCUGAGGGUCCACUUGACCUGAAGUUAGAACAGCAGGAGUGAGCGAACAGACCUCUGAAUGUGUGACUCGUGCUGCAAAAUAUGAUAUUAAUGACUCCCUCACGACGCGUUCAAUAAUUACCCACUUGCUGCUUCUCCAGUCUGGGAAAUCGCUCUGAACCGACUCUUCACUAGUCUGCCAGCUUUGCAUCUCCAUCGCCAAAGAAGCAGCUGUAGGAGCGUUUGUACGGCGUAGAGUUGGUUUGCACUGAAACAUGCAAAAUGAGACUCGGGGUUGUUUAUCUCUACCCGACGAACAAGAUACGAUCUCACUGUGCGAUUAAUCCCGACUUGAUUUAAUGUUGACAUCCUACUGCUUCUCAGUCGGCAGUACAGCAUUAAUUCCAGGUGAAGUGAGGAGGAAGAGAGGGAAAGGUGAGGCAGAGAGGAAGAAGGAGGGAGUCAAGAGGAAGUGCAACAAAUAAGAGGCGUUUCCAGAGAAGCAAACCAGGUAUGAUUAAAGUACCGCGCCAAAACAGUUUAAGCUAACACGCUAAGUGCGGUCUACAGCAGGUUAAUGAGCCAUAGUCAUUUUAUCAUAACAUAUCUAGGCCAGUAACAGCAGCAUUCAGGCUCAGUGUCGGCCAGUUAAGUUAGUCUACAUCCCAGUCCUUGGUGUGGCCUGGAAUGGAAUCAAACUCUUGGCUCUCGAACCGCGUUUAUCCAAAGAGGACUCGUCAAUCCGACCGGCACAUAAAUAUUUAUCGAACUUUUCUGUAUUCCUGUCAGACACUUCACAUUUCUGAUGGUUUGAAAUAGUCUGUUGCAUCAGAACAGCUCAGCUUCCAGGCCCGGACCUCCUCGAAGAUUUAUUUUUUCUUGCAGAAAAUUGAGCGGUGAUGAGAUUAGGUCUUAAACCAGCUGUAGUCGGAGCCUGCAGGUGGAUGCUGGGGGGAGGUGGUGGAGGUGAAGGGAUGAGCCCAGCACUUAUAUCAGCAGGUGUGGUACUGACAGAAAGAGAGAGAGAGAGAGAGAGAGGAGGGCGAGUUUUUACGGUUUAGACAAUACGCAGUUGUGAGGAUGAGAUUUUCCAUUUACCGUACGUAUAAACAAUUGCGUCAUCAGCAUAUAGAUGAAUUUCAGCAGAGUGAAGGACGGAAAGGUCAUCGAUAAACAUGGAAAAAAGGAGCGGGCCUAAGGAUGAGCCUUGUGGGACUCCCAUAUGUUGUUUGUAUGUAAACUUGUCGACUGAAUUUUACAACCCUGCUUUAUUUCAGAGGUUUUAGUCUCUUUUACUAAACGUGACCUGUCGUCUCGCAGCCGCAGGGUGAGUACGCCCCGAGGACGAACGCUUCGUCACGUUAAGACUUUAGCCUGAAGGAAGAACAGACAGGACAAAGCUGCCUGAGGUUCUGAGUCUGCAGGACUGAACUCUGAACCUCUGACUGCUGAAUCUGGAAUAUAAGAGAAGUCACUUUUUAUCCAGCACUCAGAACUCCGCUGGAUCGCCGUCGAUCCCACGUGACGCCAUUAUUAUUGUUUAUAGUUUUUUACAGUGUAUCUCUACGGGAUAAAAAGUGUUCAAAAGCUUACCCUUUUGUCGAUCUAUCGAGGGUUUCCAGACAUUUCUACACCUGCCACAAGGUUUACAAUCCAGCCACAAAAACAGGUGUUUGAUCAGAGACGAUUGAUGGUAAAUCCGCAGUGAUAUACGGUGAAAACAGGAUUAUUGAUCAAAUUGUUGUGAUCGAAAAAGAUCGCUAUUGCUAAAUGCCGCUAAUGUCUUCCAGGUUUGACAAGCCAAACUUUAGACCAAUUACACGGCCUCAUAUUCUUCUCAUACCCUUAGAGGACCGGAUCCUAAAGAUUCAUAAACUGCACUUCCUCCCUCGAUCAAAUAAAUGCAGGUUUAUUUUAAUGUCUGUUUGAUCAGGUCCAAGCUCUUUAACUCUCAUCUUCUCCUGCAAAGAUCAGGUCCAAGCUCUUUAACUCUCAUCUUCUCCUGCAAAGAUCAGGUCCAAGCUCUUUAACUCUCAUCUUCUCCUGCAAAGAUCAGGUCCAAGCUCUUUAACUCUCAUCUUCUAUUGUUCCCUCAAUGUUUGGAAACAAGUGAAGAAGAGAUUCUGAGCAGUAUGAUGUGGUCCUCUGUCUCAUCCCAGGAGUGGCAGAAACAACUGUAAACAGUCAAAAACGCCUGGAAGAAUGAGUGUAAAUAUGUCAAUAGUUUCUGUUGUGUGUUUGUUCCAAUCCCAAUAUUUCUUCUCCUGAUAGACAAGACUUGAGAGAAUGAUGUGCAGGUGAGAAAAGGCUUGGUCACUGUAGAUUUAUGUGGUUUUGGAGCAAAGUUCUGUUGGGAUCAAUUUCCACAAACAGGCGAACUAAAAAUAGCAAAAUAAAGCUUGGAGUUCAAAGGGUUAAUGUCAAAGCUGUUUCAAACUCGGGGUUGUCGAGUCAGAAUAUAAAACAGGCUUGAAUCAAACGCACCUCUAAUAUAUGCCGUAUUUUGUGAUUACAAAGGCUUCAGUAGACUACAUUACAAGAAUCAAAGCCUGUCAGGAAAACACACAAAAAGCAAUCAUGCACAAAGUCGGCAAACAGCCUGAUCGUCGACGCUGCUGAAUUUUUAAACACCAAGUCACGCUCGAUUAUCCGAAUUCUGAGGAGUUCAGAAACUUAGAUUAACGGUAUCUUGCUGUAAAUACGAGUCGAACCUCGAUGAAAAGAGUGAUGAGAGAGAAGAAUCAGGAGGUUUAUACUGCGGCUGAAUUUGCAUGUUUGUGUUGUUUGUAUUUAUAUUUGUGCAUAAGAAAGUACAGCUUGUCAGAAGUGAUCACAGUCAUGCCACCUUCCUCCCCUCCUCCUCCUCCUCCUCCUUUAAUCCCCUGUUUAUCCUCCGAUUUAUCGUCACAUCUUCUCCUCCUGCCUCCCUAUUUUUAUCUUACGUCUCCCCGGUUGCGUCACCGAAAGAUAAAAGGAUGGCGGUGAUAGCGACAGUAAUUACGCCGCUCCUCUUUCUCUCUCCUGUCUUGCUUCAUUGGACCGGUGUGAUUGUGUGUGACUGUCUGAGUUGUUUGGGUGUUCGAGACCAAGACGAUCAUAAAUUCAACAGGAGGCGACGACAAGAAAAGAAAAUAGCGGAGCUGAUGUCAGAGAGGGAAUCUGAAGGAGCGGUUUGAGGCUUCAGCUCUGAUUCAAUUGUGUGGAAAAGUCGACCAAUUCCAGAGUCAUUUCUUCAUCUGCCGAGUCAAAUAUGACAAACUGGAGCGAGAGAAUAAGGAGAGAGAGAGACAGACCCAAGACGUGAAUGAUAAUGAAAUCAUUUGCUUUAGUCUGGUGUGCGAGUUCAGACAUAUGUUGGAGUCAUGUCACAGAUUCUGUUUAAGUCUUUAGAUGGAUUUAACUAAUUAGACUGACUGUCCUCAGGGUCAGUCAGGAGCGUAACCUCGGUCUGAAACACAGUUAGCAGACGGGGACGCUUCCUAACCGGCUCUCAUCUUAACAGGAAUGAGCCAGGUUUGUCGUCUGAGCGGUCAAACGCAGAGAAGGAUUUACUGCAGCUGUAAACAAAAUCAGGAGUGUAAAUGCCGAAAAUACGAACUACAGGGGCGGCUGUGGAUUAGUGGAAGGAUCAGAAGGAUGGUUGUCUGAAUUGGGUCUGUUAAUUCUGCAGCUUCUGCCGUCAGUGGGCCCGUUUACAUGGGUCCAAAAAUCCUGUUUACAAUCAGAUUCAAAAUGUCUCAUAUAAACACCUUCGCCAAUCUGAUUCACCCGGAUCUGAUUGUAUUUCGGGUCAGAUUGUAAAGAGGUAGUCUACGCCGAUUGAUAAUCCGCUCCAUAUAUACGGCUGAGUGGAGCGGAUUGGGUUUACAGAGAGGCGUGUUCGGUCUGCGCAGACGCUCGGUAGUACGUAAGAGCCACGCAGUGAGGUACGCAGAGCGCGCCCGAACGAAAACAAACAUGGCGAACAAACAGAAAAACUGGACGGUGGAGCGUUAAAGUGUGUCGUUUCGUUGUGUACACUUCUUGCUGUGUAACCCGGCUGGAUUAUACUUUUAUUAAACUUCAACACAUAGGGUUCCUUACUCUGCUCGGUCUGGUAACUCCGGCGGUGUCACACACAAACACGUCCAUGCGCAACUCUAAAACGGAACUAAAACAAUGGUUCCUAUUAACAAUUCCCAUUGAUACAAUACAGCUGGAUUCAGCUGGGCCCAUGAAAACACGGACUGAACGUGGAUCUCUUUACUUAAAUUCAUGUGUACAGAUGGAAUCAGAUUCACUUAAAACUGCCCAUGUAAACAGAGCCACUGUAUGAAUGAGGUGAGUCUUGAUCCCUCAAACUAAAACUCUGCCAUUAUUAUUAUAACUUAAAGUGUCUCCACAUUUGUGCGAAUGACUUACAUGUUAAGUCAAUGUGUAGACGCGAUCGGACUCUACUACUACUCUGGCAGGACAAACGAUGCGAAUUGGGCGGGAGCUGAAAAUGUCUCAACUUGAGCGAAUAUUCGUGUCGCGAUAACCAAUCAGCUCGAAGGUUUCUUGGUUAGAAAGAUGUGUAAAGAAUAACACCCACGUCAUCUUUCACGAUGUUGCUGCAAACUCAUGAUUAUCUUUGUUCAUCUUCUCCUCAGAGCGUCAGAUUUGAAGCAGCAGGAUGCAGCACAUGAGGACCAGACUCGGAGUGAUUCGUGAUUAACUCGUUUAUCUCUGGAAGCGCGUUUCUCCUCCCUGCUGCUCCGAAUUAAAGACCACAUGAAAUGAUGACUUCUGUUUGUGUCUGCGAAGCUAAAACAAACUGCAGAUUAUUAAUGAUGAUAUUAAACAUGGAAGUAUUUGGGUGUAAAGAUGAGAUUAACGAUGUUACAGGUGCAGCAGCAGCUCGACUCGUUAAAGUGAUCUCAUUAAAACGAGAACAAAUGUGACAAAUUAAUCUUACACACGAACACUUUUCCUCCUUUUUCAUGUGGACAGCUGGACCAGAGUGGAAAAAUUAGUCCACUGUCAUUAGUCAGGUUGCUUGGCAACCGAUGAGACGAGGCUAAUCACCCUGACAGGCCAGAGGAGGAGGCGGCGGUGAAGGCGGAGCAGCGACGGAGGAAGAAAUGAGUGUGGAUGUUACGGGGCAAGAUGGGAUCAAAGACAUCCGAGUUAGUCUGAAGAGAUGAAGAAACGAGGAAAAACGAGAAAAGAGGAGAAAGGAGGAGACAGGAGGCGACGCCGUCUAAUUACAGAAGAGAGGAUCACUGACGACUGAACUUUAAAGACCAACAUUAGUGGAAAUGCAAAUGAAGCGGCACAAGGACACAGACUUAAUGACGAGUCAUGAGUUCAAGUCAAGAACGAGAAAAUCAGAGCAGCUUUUUAUGUGUUUUUUUCAGCCGUGUGGUCAGAGUCGUAAAUAUCUGAGAUACUGCACAGACUGAGAACCGUUAGAAACACUCACAUUUAGACGCAAACGGAGAACUGACCCCUGAAAACGAUGCUUUUUAAAAACUCCAAAACUUGCAUUUAAAUGAAAAAACCCC